ensembl:lncRNA
CACCGACUGUAGCCUGCCAGGCUUCUAUGUCCGUGGGAUUUCCCAGGCAAGAAUCCUGGAGUGGGUUGCCAUUUCCUUCUCCAGGAGAUCUUCCUGGACUAAGGAUCAAACCCGUAUUUCCUGCAUUGGCAGGUAGAUUUUUUAGCGCUUAGGAAGCCACCCUGGUAAAGAAUUUGCCUGCUAGUGCAGGUGGCGCAGGGGCCUCAGGUUUGAUCCCUGGGAGGGAAAGAUCCCCUGGAGCAGAAAAUGGCAACCUACUCCAACAUUCUUGCCUGGAAAAUUCCAUGCACAGAGGAGCCUGGUGGGCUACAGUCUAAGGGGUCACAAAGAGUCAGACACUACUGAAAUGCGCACUCACAGGCAGAAAGCUUUUCAGCUGGGGCUCUUUAAAAGGAAACGUCAACAAGAGACAACUGGCUAACGUGCAGUGCGUGUCAUUCAAGAGUAACUCAGAUGAGGGCUUAGAAUUCCGGCUUACAGAGAGUCUUCAGCGGAGACCAGCACAUUUGUGGAGAAGUGACAAGACAGAGGAAAGUGAUUUUAGGCUUCCAAGGACUGCACACUGGGAAGAGAGGAAGACAUGAGAUUCCUGGUGCUGUGUCCUUUAUUCUCCUCACCCUGGAAGAAUCCACCAUGUCACAUGGAUCGGUUUGCUUUGAAUCCCGUCUGUUUAAUUGUGGCCCCACCUGAGAAGCAGGCUGCUGAAAACACUAAACCUCAGAUGCUCCUUCC